GUUAAAUAUUUUGGGCCUAAACCAUGUAGGGAUUUAUAGAAUUGGCACCUCCUCCUACCUCCAUCACGAUUCAGGCGAUGGGGAGGAACCUCACACUAGUGGGGAAGCGGCUGUGCUGGUCAGACGCCCUGUUCUACUGCAGGGACUAUCACUGGGACCUGCUGAGCAUCAGGGGCCCAGAGGACCAGGAGAUGGUUGAUGAGCUGGUGGCUAGCGCCCCCUUCCCGCUAACUAGACCCCUCUGGGUGGGCCUUCGCAGGUCGAUUCGAGGAAGCUCCUGGUUUUGGAUGUCCGGUGACCCAAUGGACU